rnacentral:rRNA from 1 species
UACGAAGGGGGCUAGCGUUGCUCGGAAUCACUGGGCGUAAAGGGUGCGUAGGCGGGUCUUUAAGUCAGUGGUGAAAUCUCCAGGCUCAACCUGGAAACUGCCAUUGAUACUAUUUAUCUUGAAUAUCGUUGAGGUAGGCGGAAUAUGUCAUGUAGCGGUGAAAUGCUUAGAGAUGACAUAGAACACCAAUUGCGAAGGCAGCUUACUAAACGAUUAUUGACGCUGAGGCACGAAAGCGUGGGGAUCAAACAGG